CCUACGGGGGGCAGCAGUGGGGAAUAUUGGACAAUGGGGGCAACCCUGAUCCAGCCGUGCCGCGUGUGUGAAGAAGGCCCUCGGGUUGUAAAGCACUUUCAGUGAGGAAGAACGCCUGGUGGUUAAUACCCAUCAGGAAAGACAUCACUCACAGAAGAAGCACCGGCUAACUCCGUGCCAGCAGCCGCGGUAAUACGGAGGGUGCGAGCGUUAAUCGGAAUUACUGGGCGUAAAGCGCGCGUAGGUGGCUUGAUAAGCCGGUUGUGAAAGCCCCGGGCUCAACCUGGGAACGGCAUCCGGAACUGUCAAGCUAGAGUGCAGGAGAGGAAGGUAGAAUUCCCGGUGUAGCGGUGAAAUGCGUAGAGAUCGGGAGGAAUACCAGUGGCGAAGGCGGCCUUCUGGACUGACACUGACACUGAGGUGCGAAAGCGUGGGUAGCAAACAGGAUUAGAUACCCUGGUAGUC
rnacentral:rRNA from 1 species